rnacentral:misc_RNA from 1 species
ACAAUUGUGUCAUACUUCCAAUCACAUCAAUACUACCUGAUAACCCUUUAACUUGAUUAUUCAACCAAAGAUUCAUAAUUUCAGAACCCCCAAAAGAAGCAGGCAAAGAACCAGUAAGAUUAUUAUAAGACAACCUUAAAUUCUGUAAAUUAGGAAAAACAUCAAAGAAAUCAGGAAUAACACCAACAAUACUUGCAUUACUAGCAUAUAGAGAUCCCAAA